GAUGAACGCUGGCGGCGUGCCUAAUACAUGCAAGUCGAGCGGACGGACGAUAAGCUUGCUUCUCUGAUGUUAGCGGCGGACGGGUGAGUAACGCGUGGAUAACCUACCUAUAAUACUGGGAUAAUUUCGGAAAACCGGAUCUAAUACCGGAUAAUAUUUUGAACCGCAUGGUUCAAAGGUGAAAGACGGUGUUGGGGUCUCUUAUAGCGGGUUCCGCGCUGGAUGAGCUAGUUGGGAAGGUAACGGCUUACCAAGGCGACGAUGCAUAGACGACCGGAGAGGGUGAUAGGCCACACUGGAAGUGAGACACGGUCCAGAGUCCUACGGGAGGCAGCAGUAGGGAAUAUUCCGCAAUGGGCGAAAGCCUGACGGAGCAACGCCGCGUGAGUGAUGAAGGUCUUCGGAUCGUAAAACUCUGUUAUUGGGGAAGAACAGAUGUGUAAGUAAAUGUGGACAUCUUGACGGUACCUAAUCAGAAAGCCACGGCUAACUACGUG
rnacentral:rRNA from 1 species